rnacentral:rRNA from 1 species
UCUGGUGCCAGCAGCCGCGGUAAUUCCAGCUCCAAUAGCGUAUAUUAAAGUUGUUGCAGUUAAAAAGCUCGUAGUUGAAUUUCGGGGUUAGUAGGUUGGUCAUGCCUCUGGUAUGUACUGGUCUCACUGAUUCCUCCUUCCUGACGAACCGUAAUGCCAUUAAUUUGGUGUUGCGGGAAAUUUGGACUGUUACUUUGAAAAAAUUAGAGUGUUUAAAGCAAGCUAACGCUUGAAUACAUUAGCAUGGAAUAAUGAAAUAGGACGUUCGAUCCUAUUUUGUUGGUUUCUAGGAUUGACGUAAUGAUUAAUAGGGAUAGUUGGGGGCAUUAGUAUUCAAUUGUCAGAGGUGAAAUUCUUGGAUUUAUUGAAGACUAACUACUGCGAAAGCAUUUGCCAAGGAUGUUUUCAUUAAUCAAGAACGAAAGUUAGGGGAUCGAAGACGAUCAGAUACCGUC